rnacentral:rRNA from 1 species
AUUGAACGCUGGCGGCAGGCCUAACACAUGCAAGUCGAGCGGGGACUUCGGUCCUAGCGGCGAACGGGUGAGUAAUGCUUGGGAAUCUGCCCAGUAGUGGGGGAUAACGUCCCGAAAGGGACGCUAAUACCGCAUACGUCCUACGGGAGAAAGAGGGGGAUCUUCGGACCUCUCGCUAUUGGAUGAGCCCAAGUCGGAUUAGCUAGUUGGUAGGGUAAUGGCCUACCAAGGCGACGAUCCGUAGCUGGUCUGAGAGGAUGAUCAACCACACUGGAACUGAGACAAGGUCCAGAAUCCUACGGGAGGCAACAGUGGGGAAUAUUGGACAAUGGGCGGAAGGCUGAUCCAGCCAAGGCGCGUGUGUGAAGAAGGCCUUCGGGUUGUAAAGCACUUUAAGCGGGGAGGAAGGUUCGCGGCCUAAUACGUCGCGGAAUUGACGUUACCCGCAGAAUAAGCACCGGCUAACUCUGUG